rnacentral:rRNA from 1 species
GGGUUGUGAGGUUAAGCGACUAAGCGUACACGGUGGAUGCCCUGGCAGUCAGAGGCGAUGAAGGACGUGCUAAUCUGCGAAAAGCGCCGGCGAGGUGAUAUGAACCUUUGACCCGGCGAUGUCCGAAUGGGGAAACCCAGUGUGAUUCGUCACACUAUCGUUAACUGAAUACAUAGGUUAACGAGGCGAACCGGGGGAACUGAAACAUCUAAGUACCCCGAGGAAAAGAAAUCAACCGAGAUUCCCCCAGUAGCGGCGAGCGAACGGGGAGCAGCCCAGAGUCUGAAUCAGCUUGUGUGUUAGUGGAAGCGUCUGGAAAGUCGCACGGUACAGGGUGACAGUCCCGUACACGAAAGCACACAGGCUGUGAACUCGAAGAGUAGGGCGGGACACGUGGUAUCCUGUCUGAAUAUGGGGGGACCAUCCUCCAAGGCUAAAUACUCCUGACUGACCGAUAGUGAACCAGUACCGUGAGGGAAAGGCGAAAAGAACCCCGGCGAGGGGAGUGAAAAAGAACCUGAAACCGUGUACGUACAAGCAGUGGGAGCCUCUUUAUGGGGUGACUGCGUACCUUUUGUAUAAUGGGUCAGCGACUUAUAUUCUGUAGCAAGGUUAACCGUAUAGGGGAGCCGAAGGGAAACCGAGUCUUAACUGGGCGUUAAGUUGCAGGGUAUAGACCCGAAACCCGGUGAUCUAGCCAUGGGCAGGUUGAAGGUUGGGUAACACUAACUGGAGGACCGAACCGACUAAUGUUGAAAAAUUAGCGGAUGACUUGUGGCUGGGGGUGAAAGGCCAAUCAAACCGGGAGAUAGCUGGUUCUCCCCGAAAGCUAUUUAGGUAGCGCCUCGUGAAUUCAUCUUCGGGGGUAGAGCACUGUUUCGGCUAGGGGGCCAUCCCGGCUUACCAACCCGAUGCAAACUACGAAUACCGAAGAAUGUUAUCACGGGAGACACACGGCGGGUGCUAACGUCCGUCGUGAAGAGGGAAACAACCCAGACCGCCAGCUAAGGUCCCAAAGUCAUGGUUAAGUGGGAAACGAUGUGGGAAGGCACAGACAGCCAGGAUGUUGGCUUAGAAGCAGCCAUCAUUUAAAGAAAGCGUAAUAGCUCACUGGUCGAGUCGGCCUGCGCGGAAGAUGUAACGGGGCUAAACCAUGCACCGAAGCUGCGGCAGCGACACUAUGUGUUGUUGGGUAGGGGAGCGUUCUGUAAGCCGUUGAAGGUGUCCUGUGAGGGGUGCUGGAGGUAUCAGAAGUGCGAAUGCUGACAUAAGUAACGAUAAAGCGGGUGAAAAGCCCGCUCGCCGGAAGACCAAGGGUUCCUGUCCAACGUUAAUCGGGGCAGGGUGAGUCGACCCCUAAGGCGAGGCCGAAAGGCGUAGUCGAUGGGAAACAGGUUAAUAUUCCUGUACUUGGUGUUACUGCGAAGGGGGGACGGAGAAGGCUAUGUUAGCCGGGCGACGGUUGUCCCGGUUUAAGCAUGUAGGCGGAGGUUCCAGGUAAAUCCGGUUCCUUGUUAACGCUGAGGUGUGAUGACGAGGCACUACGGUGCUGAAGUAACAAAUGCCCUGCUUCCAGGAAAAGCCUCUAAGCAUCAGGUAACAUCAAAUCGUACCCCAAACCGACACAGGUGGUCAGGUAGAGAAUACCAAGGCGCUUGAGAGAACUCGGGUGAAGGAACUAGGCAAAAUGGUGCCGUAACUUCGGGAGAAGGCACGCUGAUAUGUAGGUGAAGCCCCUGCGGGUGGAGCUGAAAUCAGUCGAAGAUACCAGCUGGCUGCAACUGUUUAUUAAAAACACAGCACUGUGCAAACACGAAAGUGGACGUAUACGGUGUGACGCCUGCCCGGUGCCGGAAGGUUAAUUGAUGGGGUUAGCGGUAACGCGAAGCUCUUGAUCGAAGCCCCGGUAAACGGCGGCCGUAACUAUAACGGUCCUAAGGUAGCGAAAUUCCUUGUCGGGUAAGUUCCGACCUGCACGAAUGGCGUAAUGAUGGCCAGGCUGUCUCCACCCGAGACUCAGUGAAAUUGAACUCGCUGUGAAGAUGCAGUGUACCCGCGGCAAGACGGAAAGACCCCGUGAACCUUUACUAUAGCUUGACACUGAACACUGGUCCUUGAUGUGUAGGAUAGGUGGGAGGCUUUGAAGCGUGGACGCCAGUCUGCGUGGAGCCAACCUUGAAAUACCACCCUUUAAUGGCUGGUGUUCUAACGUAGACCCGUGAUCCGGGUUGCGGACAGUGUCUGGUGGGUAGUUUGACUGGGGCGGUCUCCUCCCAAAGAGUAACGGAGGAGCACGAAGGUUAGCUAAUCCUGGUCGGACAUCAGGAGGUUAGUGCAAUGGCAUAAGCUAGCUUGACUGCGAGAGUGACGGCUCGAGCAGGUGCGAAAGCAGGUCAUAGUGAUCCGGUGGUUCUGAAUGGAAGGGCCAUCGCUCAACGGAUAAAAGGUACUCCGGGGAUAACAGGCUGAUACCGCCCAAGAGUUCAUAUCGACGGCGGUGUUUGGCACCUCGAUGUCGGCUCAUCACAUCCUGGGGCUGAAGUAGGUCCCAAGGGUAUGGCUGUUCGCCAUUUAAAGUGGUACGCGAGCUGGGUUUAGAACGUCGUGAGACAGUUCGGUCCCUAUCUGCCGUGGGCGCUGGAGAAUUGAGGGGGGCUGCUCCUAGUACGAGAGGACCGGAGUGGACGCAUCACUGGUGUUCGGGUUGUCAUGCCAAUGGCACUGCCCGGUAGCUAAAUGCGGAAGAGAUAAGUGCUGAAAGCAUCUAAGCACGAAACUUGCCCCGAGAUGAGUUCUCCCUGAGACUUUAAGUCUCCUGAAGGAACGUUGAAGACUACGACGUUGAUAGGUCGGGUGUGUAAGCGCAGCGAUGCGUUGAGCUAACCGAUACUAAUGAACCGUGAGGCUUAACCUUACAACGCCGAAGGUGUUU